UACGUAGGGGGCAAGCGUUGUCCGGAAUUAUUGGGCGUAAAGAGCGCGUAGGCGGUCCGGUAAGUCGGCUGUGAAAGUCAAGGGCUCAACCUUUGAAAGCCGAUGGAUACUGCAGGGCUAGAGUCCGGAAGAGGCGAGUGGAAUUCCUGGUGUAGCGGUGGAAUGCGCAGAUAUCAGGAGGAACACCAAUAGCGAAGGCAGCUCGCUGGGACGGUACUGACGCUAAGGCGCGAAAGCGUGGGGAGCGAACAGG
rnacentral:rRNA from 1 species